GAACUGUGCGAACGUUAUUCGGAAUCACUGGGCUUACAGGGUGCGUAGGCGGCUUGUCAAGUAGGGUGUGAAAGCCCCCGGCUCAACCGGGGAAUUGCGCCCUAAACUGGCGAGCUGGAGUGAGAUAGGGGUGUGUGGAACUUCCGGUGGAGCGGUGAAAUGUGUUGAUAUCGGAAGGAACGCCGGUGGCGAAAGCGACACACUGGAUCUUGUCUGACGCUGAGGCACGAAAGCCAGGGGAGCGAACGGGAUUAGAUACCCCGGUAGUCCUGGCUGUAAACGAUGAGCACUAGCUAGGAGGGGCGUAGGCCCUUCCUAACGGAGCGAAAGUGUUAAGUGCUCCGCCUGGGGAGUAUGGUCGCAAGGCUG
rnacentral:rRNA from 1 species